ACAUGGCUGCUACGCAGAAACCUGUUUGGUAACAGUCAUAGUACAAUUGAAAGCAAUAAACUUGCUUAGCUGAAAGACAAGAUUUCAUUAGAUAAUAAAGACCUCAGUUGACUGACAGUUUCUUUUACAAGUAGUGCAGCUUGGUACUGUACAGGGUCCUCCACACAUCUCUGCUAUGCCCCUGUUUUGGACUUCUGGAAAAACUAACACUGCCAUUAUUUGGGGCAGAGGGAAGGCUGACAAAAUUAAAUUAAUGCUAUUGCUUCAUCUCAAGAAGCCUACUCUUGACCCCAACACACUUAACAACGUCUCUCCUACAACCAAUCAACUCUUGCGCUAUGAUCUUCAAUAAUUAACUUUCUAGACUGCAGUGACACAGUUGUUAUUACUGAAAACAAAAACCUUGAAAACGAUGCUGGUAUGUAUAUUAUAGCUCUCUCCUCACCUAUCAUUACUCUUGUAAUGUAAAUAUAUUUUAAAAGAGUAAUUAAAAUCUCUUUAACUGCUCUUUCUUUGCCUCUAAGGAUGGCAUAAAGCUAGCUGAGGCCUUAAUUCUUUCUGAUGCCGCAACACUUCUUAAACAUUUAGGCGACAGGAAAUAAAUCUUGCCGCCAAAGAACGAUGUACCCACCGCUGAAAUGCCGCUGAAGACCAUUAGCAACUGAAAGACCCGCUGCCGAAAUGCCGCCAAAGACCUGGGGAGGUUACAGUAUAUGAAGAUGUGGACAGUGCACACCCCUUAAAAGUUACAUCAAAGAGAAAAAGACUCUUCACAAACUUU